rnacentral:rRNA from 1 species
UGCCAGCAGCCGCGGUAAUACGGAGGGGGUUAGCGUUGUUCGGAAUUACUGGGCGUAAAGCGCACGUAGGCGGAUUAGUAAGUUAGGGGUGAAAUCCCGGGGCUCAACCCCGGAACCGCCUCCAAAACUGCUGGUCUAGAGUUCGAGAGAGGUGAGUGGAAUUCCGAGUGUAGAGGUGAAAUUCGUAGAUAUUCGGAGGAACACCAGUGGCGAAGGCGGCUUUCUGGACCGAUACUGACGCUGAGACGCGAAAGCGUGGGGAGCAAACAGGAUUAGAUA